AGUUCAGAUGUGUGCUCUCCCCAUCAUUGCAGGGACGUGGAGCUGGUGGGAUCACACCAUGGCCUGGGUCCCUCUCCUCCUCGCGGUGCUCGCCCACACCUCAGGUUCCCUGGUCCAGGCAGCACUGACUCAGUCACCUCUGAUGUCAGUCAAAGUGGGAGACACCGUCAAGAUCACCUGCUCUGGGAGUAGCAGCAGCUGGGGUUAUGCUGCCUGACACUACCUGGCACUGCCCCUGUCACUGUGAUCUAUCGCAACAGCAACAGACCCUCGGACAUCCCUUCGCGAUUCUCCGGAUCCGAGUCCGGCUCCACGGCCACAUUGACCAUCACUGGGGUCCAAGCUGAGGACGAGGCUGUCUAUUUCUGUGGUGGCUACGACAGCAGCAGUGGCAGCAGCUAUGGUGUGUUUUGA